AUUGAACGCUGGCGGCAUGCCUUACACAUGCAAGUCGAACGGCAGCACGGGAGCAAUCCUGGUGGCGAGUGGCGAACGGGUGAGUAAAGUAUCGGAACGUGCCCAGUCGUGGGGGAUAACGGAGCGAAAGUUACGCUAAUACCGCAUACGAUCUAUGGAUGAAAGCGGGGGAUCGCAAGACCUCGCGCGAUUGGAGCGGCCGAUAUCAGAUUAGGUAGUUGGUGGGGUAAAGGCUCACCAAGCCGACGAUCUGUAGCUGGUCUGAGAGGACGACCAGCCACACUGGGACUGAGACACGGCCCAGACUCCCACGGGAGGCAGCAGUGGGGAAUUUUGGACAAUGGGCGAAAGCCUGAUCCAGCCAUGCCGCGUGCAGGAUGAAGGCCUUCGGGUUGUAAACUGCUUUUGUACGGAACGAAAAGGUUUGGCCUAAUAAGCUGAGCUCAUGACGGUACCGUAAGAAUAAGCACCGGCUAACUACGUGCCAGCAGCCGCAGUAA
rnacentral:rRNA from 1 species